UNUGACUUGAGUGCAGAAGGGGAGAGUGGAAUUCCAUGUGUAGCGGUGAAAUGCGUAGAUAUAUGGAGGAACACCAGUGGCGAAAGCGGCUCUCUGGUCUGUCACUGACGCUGAGGCUCGAAAGCGUGGGUAGCGAACAGGAUUAGAUACCCUGGUAGUNCACGCCGUAAACGAUGAGUGCUAGGUGUUAGGCCCUUUCCGGGGCUUAGUGCCGGAGCUAACGCAAUAAGCACUCCGCCUGGGGAGUACGACCGCAAGGUUGAAACUCAAAGGAAUUGACGGGGGCCCGCACAAGCGGUGGAGCAUGUGGUUUAAUUCGAAGCAACGCGAAGAACCUUACCAGGUCUUGACAUCCCGAUGCUAUUCUUAGAGAUAGGAAGUUACUUCGGUACAUCGGAGACAGGUGGUGCAUGGUUGUCGUCAGCUCGUGUCGUGAGAUGUUGGGUUAAGUCCCGCAACGAGCGCAACCCUUAUUGUUAGUUGCCAUCAUUAAGUUGGGCACUCUAGCGAGACUGCCGGUAAUAAACCGGAGGAAGGUGAGGAUGACGUCAAAUCAUCAUGCCCCUUAUGACCUGGGCUACACACGUGCUACAAUGGUCGGUACAACGAGUUGCGAGCCGGUGACGGCAAGCUAAUCUCUGAAAGCCGAUCUCAGUUCGGAUUGGAGGCUGCAACUCGCCUCCAUGAAGUCGGAAUCGCUAGUAAUCGCGGAUCAGCACGCCGCGGUGAAUACGUUCCCGGGCCUUGUACACACCGCCCGUCACACCACGAGAGUUUG
rnacentral:rRNA from 1 species